GCAAGAGCUCUACCACUGAGCUAAAUCCCCAACCCCUUGGUUUUUGUUUUUUUGUUUGUUUGUUUUGUUUUGUUUUGUUUUUUUAUAUCUAUCUCUAGAAUAUCAGACUCCCCCACUUAUCUUUGCAAGUAACUCACUCAUUCUUUAAAAAACAUUUUAUUUUUAAGUUAAGUUUAUUAAUUAACUAUUUAUUCUUUAAUUAUUUGUGUAUCUGCUAGGGAGAUGUCUUUGAAAAUGCAGGUUCCCACAGAGGCCAGAAGAGGGAGUCAGAGCUUCUGGAGCUGGAGCUGGAGGAGGUUGUGAGCUGCUCCACUGGGUGAGCGCUGGGCACCAAACUCAGAUCCUCUUUACUUAGCAUUGUGCACUCUUAACCGUGAGCCCUCGCAACUGUGAGCCCUCAUUCUUAGUCAGUUGGCCUUAUUGCCUCAAUGUCAUCUUAAGGCAAGGUUACCUCUUUCCUGCCUUGUCCUCUGUCACUGCACUUAACACAUUUAAUUGUCCACCUUCCCUCCUGAAUCAAGUGGAUGAAGGUUAACAGAGUCCCUGUCCUCCCACCCUUCCCUGAGGAAACAUUGGUAGUUAAUGGCCAUUGGCCAAAGAGAGUCAUUUUCUUCAUAGGAAUAGCCACUGGGAACCUGCCAGCAAUACAGUGAUAACCCUACACAUUCUCAUGUGAGCAACCCAAACUACAUUCAGUUGGUCACAGAAGUCAACAGCAACAGAAAGACAUGGACAUGGGGAAAGGGCUUACUUGCUAAGAAGAAGUGGGGAUUCAGCAGGAGUGGGAGGGGACCGAGAAAGGGUGGUAGAGGGUGAAAAUGACCAAAAUACAUUAUAUGUAUUUAUAAGCUUGUCAGAUAAUUUAAUUUAAAAAAGGAAAGUAUUGUGUCUUGCUUGGGCAACAUACUAUGUUCAUGGUCUGAGUUCAUGGUUAAGGCACUUUCAAAAUAACCAAGGGCAGGGAGGUAGCUCUAUGAUAGGUCCACAUGUAGCAUCCAGAUGAGCUCUAUAGUAGGGCCAUGUGUAGCGUGCAGGGAGGUGAUUCUAUGAUAGGACUGUGUGUAGCAUGUCUGAGGCUUUGAGCUUGACUCCCAACACAAAAAGGCAAAAGAAAAGGAAAAAGGAAACAAAAAGAGGGGGAAGUGUGUUUUCCUUAACCCUGCUUCAGGACUUCAGCUUUUGGCAGGUAGUCAGGCCAGAUGCUCAAGAAACGUAUAAUGAAGAGUAAGUCGUGCAGAGUAACUAGAGGUGCUGGUGGUUGUAUAGAAACGUCUGGUUUAGGAGUAUCACAAGGAGGAGGUGAUUGAUUCUGCCAACCUGGGGAGAGUCCACAGAGACGCUUGGGAGCUGGCCUGGAAACACAGCAGUGCUUACAUUGACUCUUGAAGCUCGCUAGAGGUACUGAAACAUGGGUAUAUGCAUGUUCAUGACAGGGACAGGGACAGAAUAUAUUAGAACUAGGAGCUACUUGGUUAUUAAGCCAAGUAGCUGAUCAGAGAACUGGAGAGCCACCAAAAUUAUAAUAAAUAGAAAUAAAACUUCAGUAUGUUUUAUCUUUACUUCUUUAUGUCAUUUCAUUAUUUGAAAAUAGAUAACUUAAACCUAGCAAGCUGGUGCUUGCUUUGCGUAUAAUCCCAGCAGUGGGAGGAGGGGGCAGGAGGGGAGUUCAAAGUCAUCCUUGAGUUCCCUUGAACUACAUGGAGAGUUUGAGGCCAGGUUGAACCCAGGAGACCCUGUGUCUAAAAGAAAAAACAGAAAACCCCAAAAGAUAAUUUUCCUAUUCUCAACCCCCUCUUUGAAAGAAAGUAGAUCUCCCAAAAUUAAAUAUUCUUCAGAAAUAGGGUGAACUUUUUAUUGUCUUUGCUUCAUUAAGAGUUUGGGAAACUGAGCUGGAGAGAGGCGAGGGGUUGGGAAUGUGCACUGCUGGCUGGAGAAUGGUCAGUCUCCCGCACCCGUGUCAGGGAGCUCAGAGCUCCUGUGACUCCGGCUCCACAGGACCCCACGGCCUCUUCUGGCCUCCACAGCACCUGCCCCCGUGCACAUGGAUCCAUCCUCUCUCUAAAGUAUUAAAAAGAGAGAGAGGAACUUGAUAAACCAUACAUAGUGGUGCACAUCAGGUCAAGGCCAUCCUUGGCUACACAGUGAGUUUGAGGCCAGCUGGGCUGCAUGAGACUCUGUCUCGAACAAAACAAAAUUAUAUAGGGAGGACGUGAAAAUCGUUUGUAAUUACAUAUAUG
ensembl:lncRNA